rnacentral:snRNA from 1 species
AGCUGUGUAGAGAGCAAAUAUUUUAUCCCAUUCUGUCAACUGCCAGGGUGGAUUUGGCUGAUCUGGCUGGCUAGGCAGGUGUCCCCUUCCUCCCUCACCACUCCAUGUGCGUCCCUCCAGAAGCUGUGCGCUGGGUAAACGAGGACUACCUUUUCUGAUAGAGGAGGAUCGUUCUUCGGUCAUAUUAGUAGCUGUGCUCCCCUGCUAGAACCUCCAAACAAGCUCUCAAGUCUUGUUUCUGAUGGUUAGCUCAAAAUGGUUAAUGGGCUAUCUGGUGAUUUGGUAGGUAACAGCUACAU